rnacentral:rRNA from 1 species
AAGGGUGCGUAGGCGGCCUGUUAAGUCAGCGGUGAAAUCUAGGAGCUUAACUCCUAAAUUGCCAUUGAUACUGGCGGGCUUGAGUGUAGAUGAGGUAGGCGGAAUGCGUGGUGUAGCGGUGGAAUGCAUAGAUAUCACGCAGAACUCCGAUUGCGAAGGCAGCUUACUAAGGUACAACUGACGCUGAAGCACGAAAGCGUGGGUAUCAAACAGGAUUAGAUACCCUGGUAGUCCACGCUGUAAACGAUGAUAACUGGGCGUAUGCGAUAUACAGUAUGCUCCUAAGCGAAAGCGUUAAGUUAUCCACCUGGGGAGUACGCCGGCAACGGUGAAACUCAAAGGAAUUGACGGGGGCCCGCACAAGCGGAGGAACAUGUGGUUUAAUUCGAUGAUACGCGAGGAACCUUACCCGGGAUUGAA